GAAAGGAGAAGGACAACAACUCAGAUGCUUUGAAGUUUGAACUUUCACUACAGAAUUCGCAUUUGGACUCGUCUGUCCAAGAUAAAUAUGAACAUAUAAUUUCAUUAUUAAAGAAAGAAAAAUAUAAAUAUAAAUAAUAAUUUUUGUUGAUGAUAGAUAUUAUGAGAAAAUAAUUUAAUUAUAUAAUAAUAUCAAAUAAUGAAGACUAAAGGUGAAAUAUAUUCUUAAAUUAUAUGUGCCCAUAUGGACAUAUAGAAACAAACAAACUUAUCACCUCAUCAUCACAUGAAGCUCAAAUCAUGGGUUUUCAUAACAAAGCAGCAAUUGACAGUCUUCUUGGAGUGUGAAAUCUGGUAGCUUCUACAGACAUUAUUAAAUAUCAUAUGGCAUCUUAAAAAAUUAAAUAACCCCACGAAAAAGAAAGGUUCUACCUUUUUUUCUCUUGAAGUGAAAUUACGUUAGCCCAUCAAACAAACCACAUUCCCAAAAUGGUGGCUAUCGUCAGCCAGACACAGAGUCUCGCGUACACGAAACUUGUGGCUGCUCUUACAGGUCUCGUGAACCAACAGGAUCCCAACUAUUGCCGCCGACCGAUCCGUUCGUAAUUUUACGCCAACUAAAGAACAAACUCGAUGAAUGAAUGAUGCUAAAUUAGGGCCUCUCUCCUUAUCUACUUCUUCAUCCCAAUUUUUUUUACCUUCUUUUGAGCUGUUGGCUGGUAGGAAAGUGAACUCUCAUUUACUGCUGCUAGUUUGCAGUUCACUGGUUUUUUCAUGAAUGACAUAAAGAGCCCUUCAUGCUUCUGCCUAUAUAAAAAGC
rnacentral:lncRNA from 1 species